rnacentral:tRNA from 1 species
UUCCUGGUGGCCUCGUGGUUAAAGGUUUGGCAUUGUCACUGCUGUGGUGCAGGUUUGAUCCCUGGCCUGGAAC